rnacentral:rRNA from 1 species
AUUGAACGCUGGCGGCAGGCCUAACACAUGCAAGUCGAGCGGAUGAAGGGAGCUUUCUCCUGGAUUCAGCGGCGGACGGGUGAGUAAUGCCUAGGAAUCUGCCUGGCAGUGGAGGAUAACGUCCGGAAACGGGCGCUAAUACCGCAUACGAUCUGAGGGAGAAAGGGGGGGAUCUUCGGACCUCACGCUAUCUGAUGACCCUAGGCCGGAUUAGCUAGUUGGUGGGGUAAGGGCGUACCAAGGCGACGAUCCGUAACUGGACUGAGAGGAUGAUCAGGCACACUGGAACUGAGACACGGUCCAGACUCCUACGGGAGGCAGCAGUGGGGAAUAUUGGACAAUGGGCGAAAGCCUGAUCCAGCCAUGCCGCGUGUGUGAAGAAGGUCUUCGGAUUGUAAAGCACUUUAAGUUGGGAGGAAGGGCUGUAAGUUAAUACCUUGCUGUUUUGACGUUACCAACAGAAUAAGCACCGGCUAACUACGUG